rnacentral:rRNA from 1 species
GUUUAUCAAAAACAUGUCUUUUUGAAUUUAUUUUAAAGUCUAACCUGCCCACUGAAUUAUUUUAAAUGGCCGCAGUAUUUUAACUGUGCAAAGGUAGCAUAAUCAUUAGUCUUUUAAUUGAAGGCUGGAAUGAAUGGUUGGAUGAAAUAUUAACUGUUUCAUAAAAAUUUUUUAUAGAAUUUUAUUUUUUAGUCAAAAAGCUAAAAUUUAUUUAAAAGACGAGAAGACCCUAUAAAUCUUUAUAUUUUAUUGGGGUGAUAUUAAAAUUUAAUAAACUUUUAAUAAAAAAUUUACAUAAAUUAAUGAAUUAAUGAUCCAUAAAUUAUGAUUAAAAAAUUAAGUUACUUUAGGGAUAACAGCGUAAUUUUUUUAGAAAGUUCUUAUUGAUAAAAAAGAUUGCGACCUCGAUGU